CAAAAUGACACCGUAACUUCGCGAGAAGGUGUGCCCUUAUUACGUGAACCGAUUUACUCGGGGAGCGGACAGGGGUUGCAGAGAAUCGGGGGUAGCGACUGUUUACCAAAAACACAGCACUCUGCGAAGUCGCAAGACGACGUAUAGGGUGUGAUGCCUGCCCGGUGCUGGAAGGUUAAAGAGAGGAGUCAACGCAAGUGAAGCUCCGAACUGAAGCCCCAGUAAACGCGGCCGUAACUAUAACGGUCCUAAGGUAGCGAAAUUCCUUGUCGGGUAGGUUCCGACCUGCACGAAUGGCAUAACGACUUCCCCACUGUCUCAAGCAGGGACUCAGCGAAGUAGCACUAGGGGUGAAGAUACCCUUUACCCAUGACAGGACGGAAAGACCCCGUGAACCUUCACUAUAGCUUGACAUUGAUUUUCGAAGUAAUUUGCGUAGGAUAGGUGGGAGACUAUGAAACCAGGGUUCCGGCUUUGGUUGAGUCAACGUUGAAAUACCACCCUGAUUAAUUUGGAAAUCUGACCUACACCCGUCAGCCGGGUGGGGGACACUGUCUGGUGGGUAGUUUGACUGGGGCGGUCGCCUCCUAAAAAGUAACGGAGGCGCGCGAAGGUCCCCUCAGCCUGAUUGGAAACCAGGCGUCGAGUGUAAUGACAUAAGGGGGCUUGACUGCGAGUCCGACGAGACGAGCAGGUACGAAAGUAGGUCAUAGUGAUCCGGUGGCUCCAUAUGGAAGGGCCAUCGCUCAACGGAUAAAAGGUACUCCGGGGAUAACAGGCUUAUCACGUCCAAGAGUUCACAUCGACGACGUGGUUUGGCACCUCGAUGUCGGCUCAUCGCAUCCUGGGGCUGCAGUCGGUCCCAAGGGUUUAGCUGUUCGCUAAUUAAAGCGGUACGCGAGCUGGGUUCAGAACGUCGUGAGACAGUUCGGUCCCUAUCCGUCAUGGGCGCAGGACGCUUGAGAGGAGCUGACUUUAGUACGAGAGGACCGAGUUGGACGAACCGAUGGUGUUCCGGUUGUCACGCCAGUGGCAUUGCCGGGUAGCUAAGUUCGGACGGGAUAACCGCUGAAAGCAUCUAAGCGGGAAGCCCCCCUCAAGAUUAGGCGUCCCUGAACGCAAGUUCCUAAAGACCCCACGGAGACUACGUGGUUGAUAGGCAGAAUGUAGAAACACAGCAAUGUGUGGAGCUUACCUGUACUAAUCGGUCGUGAGGCUUGACCAC
rnacentral:rRNA from 1 species